CCGUGUUAGUCGGGGAGCAAGUGAUUGCUGAGACUGCGAAAGCAGGACCCGUAGAACCUGAUCCAGUUAGCACUGGCGGAGGGAACUGACACGUUCAGCAC
rnacentral:ncRNA from 2 species